rnacentral:rRNA from 1 species
AUACGGAGGAUCCGAGCGUUAUCCGGAUUUAUUGGGUUUAAAGGGAGCGUAGGUGGGAUAUUAAGUCAGCUGUGAAAGUUUGGGGCUCAACCUUAAAAUUGCAGUUGAUACUGGUUUCCUUGAGUACGGUACAGGUGGGCGGAAUUCGUGGUGUAGCGGUGAAAUGCUUAGAUAUCACGAAGAACUCCGAUCGCGAAGGCAGCUCACCGGGCCGGAACUGACACUGAUGCUCGAAAGUGCGGGUAUCAAACAGGAUUAGAUACCCUGGUAGUCCGCACAGUAAACGAUGAAUACUUGUUUUCGGCGAUAUAAUGUCGGAGGCAAAGCGAAAGCGAUAAGUAUUCCACCUGGGGAGUACGCCGGCAACGGUGAAACUCAAAGGAAUUGGCGGGG